UUUAGUAGUAUACAAAUGAAGAAAUAGUUUGAUCGUAAAGAAAAUUUAUUUAACUAAAAGGUGCAAUCUGCAGUAAAGGACUAACCAAAAUCACAAUAUUCCGCAAAAUUAAAACAUCGGAGCAGA
rnacentral:rRNA from 15 species